rnacentral:rRNA from 1 species
UACGGAGGGUGCAAGCGUUAUCCGGAUUUACUGGGUUUAAAGGGUGUGUAGGCGGACUUUUAAGUCAGGGGUGAAAUCCCGAGGCUCAACCUCGGAACUGCCUUUGAUACUAUUGGUCUUGAAUGUUGUUGAGGUGGGCGGAACGGGUCAUGUAGCGGUGAAAUGCAUAGAUAUGACCCGGAACACCGAUUGCGAAGGCAGUCCGCUAAGCAACUAUUGACGCUGAGGCACGAAAGCGUGGGGAUCAAACAGG